AACGUAGGAGACAAACGUUAUCCGGAGUUACUGGGCGUAAAGGGCGUGUAGGCGGCCAGGUAGGUCUGCUGUGAAAACUCGAGGCUUAACCUCGAGCUGUCGGCGGAAACCAUCUGGCUAGAGUCCGGAAGAGGAGAAUGGAAUUCCCGGUGUAGCGGUGGAAAUGCGCAGAUAUCGGGAAGAACACCCGUGGCGAAGGCGGUUCUCUGGGACGGUACUGACGCUGAGGAGCGAAAGCAUGGGUAGCGAACAGG
rnacentral:rRNA from 1 species